UACAGAGGUGGCAAGCGUUGUUCGGAAUUACUGGGCGUAAAGCGUGCGCAGGCGGUUUGCUAAGACAGGUGUGAAAUCCCCGGGCUUAACCUGGGAACUGCGCUUGUUACUGGCAGGCUUGAGUGUGGCAGAGGGGGGUGGAAUUCCACGUGUAGCAGUGAAAUGCGUAGAGAUGUGGAGGAACACCGAUGGCGAAGGCAGCCCCCUGGGCUAACACUGACGCUCAUGCACGAAAGCGUGGGGAGCAAACAGG
rnacentral:rRNA from 1 species